CUUUUAACACUUUUUAACACUUUCCUAUCCAAACACUUGUGUUAAAAGUAGGGUGUUAAAGUUUAACACCCCAUUUUUCAUAAACAUAUGGAGGGGGUGUUAAAACUUGCUAAAGGUGUUAAAAGUGGUCCCCCUCUCCACUUUUUCCCAGGUUACCCCUUCUCUCUCCUCCCUCUCUCUCCGCCGGCCAUAAAUGAGGGGGCAAUGGAGUCAUUUCCCACCAAAGGUGUUAAAGUUUAACACAUCAUCCAAACA
rnacentral:lncRNA from 1 species